UCUUUGAUCUUAUACACCCACUUACAUCCUACUGCAGUUUUUCCAGGAGGUAAGUUAGUCAGGUCCCAUGUAUGCGUAUCAUGAAGAGCUUGGAGUUCAUCAGACAUGGCCUUCUGCCAAAGAGGAUUAGAACUGGCCUCUUGAUAAUUGCGAGGCUCAUAUAGGGUAGCAAGAGCAUAAAAACAGUGAUAAUCAUUGAGAUGAGAUGGGAUGGAUCUUACCCUACCAAAGCGGCGAAGGGUAGUACUGAGAAAAGGCUCGGAUGAUCCGAUUGUGAUGAUCGGAACAGUGGACGGUCCAGACCUAGUGGAGUUGGUCGUUGAGAGAUUGCCUGAUGAGCUUCCAUCACCUGCAACUAAAAAGGAGUCUGGAAAGAGAUCAACAGUGGGUUGUUGAAGACAGAAGAAUACUGAGGAGGACCAUGGAGAGUGGAGAGAUAGGAGGGGAAGGUUUGCGAUGGGAUGGGCUACUGAUAGGGAGAAGAAUAGUGUUGGCUUCUCUCUCACUCUUUCCUUUCUCCCAUACGCCUUGCCAAAAUAAAGCCCUCUUUCUUUCCCUUCUGCGAUGGGAUGGGCUCCUCAGAGGGAUCUACUUGGAGGGAGAGAAGAACGUCGCGGGACCAAGAUCAAGCCACGGCAGACGGACGGCGACGCGCGGUGGUGGCUCGGCAGAGAUCCUCUCUGGAUCUAGCCAUGGACGGCGCCGGCAGAACUGCAGUGGCGCGCGACGGCUCCUCCCCUCCUUGCUCUGGUCGCGGACGGUGACGGGCUGUGCAGACUGCCUGCAUAUUUAGCACUGGGUGGCCAACAAUUCUCAUCCCUUCCGGAAAGACGUUCCUGUUGAGCCCAUUGACAUUCGAAGGCCCCUGUCUUUACGCCAGCGUCCAUGUUCGGGUCGAAGGAAAUAUUGUGGCACCUGACAAACUGUGGACCUCCCAAAAUAACACCAGUUGGAUCACAGUCAGAGACGUCACUGCUUUCACUGUCGAUGGUAAUGGCGAGAUCGACGGCCGAGGUUCCGUCUGGUGGGACUGCAAGAAGAAAAAUAAAUGUGACAGCGUGCCUUCCGUAAGUAUGCUCUUCCAGCACAUCUAAUUGUAUAUUUUUGAAUACUUUGGACAAAGGCAAGUUAUUUUGUUUAUGUUGUUUUCUAUCAAAGGCAAGUUGUAUAUUUGAUAAUUUGGAAUCCCACCGUAUUUUUUGGUGUCUCGUAAUUGCCAGAUUAAUCAUUGUUCUUGUGACAGGCAUUAGGUAUCUUACGCUGUGUGGAUUUGACCAUCGCGGGCAUGAAACUUCUCAACAGUCCAGGGAAGCACCUCACCGUGGACAGCAGCAAGUGGGUUCACUUGAAGGGGCUUAGCUUCGCAUCUCCGGCAGACAGCCCCGACACUGAUGGCAUAUACAUUGUAGAGUCUCAUUAUGUCGAAGUAAAGGAUCGAUGCCGCCAUUGG